UGAAGUUGUGGCUGGCGCCACUGUCAACGAGGACGGUCACCGUCCUCCCACGCAUGACCCCGCGCAACCUCAACGUGCCCGGGCUCGUAAUUCCCGCCAUCGAGUACAUGGGUAGUGCCCCCUCCAUCGUCUCCACUGCCUCUGCUCCCUCCAACUCCUCGUCGAGCCCUGCUGCAUCCACAAACUCGGCGUUCCGAAGCUCGAUAUCUUCUUCCGCUUCGGCCACCAUCACCCUAAGCUCCCUCAUUGGACAAACACGGAAGUGAUCUGGCGAAUACGGCUUCUUGCACUUGUAGCACAACCCUUUUGCGCGAAGAUCCGCCAAGUCGUUGUUGGUGCGUCGCGUGAAGCGGGUUCGAGCCGUCGACUGCUCUGAAUUUGCCGGUUGUGGAGUACUUCCCUUCGGCCCCGCUCGUGAAGUACUCCCAGCGCUACUGUUUACG
rnacentral:lncRNA from 1 species